CACGUAUUUAGCCGGUGCUUCUUAGUCAGGUACCGUCAUUUUUCUUCCCUGCUGAUAGGGCUUUACAUACCGAAAUACUUCUUCACCCACGCGGCGUCGCUGCAUCAGGGUUUCCCCCAUUGUGCAAUAUUCCCCACUGCUGCCUCCCGUAGGGGUUUGGGCCGUGUCUCAGUCCCAAUGUGGCCGGUCGCCCUCUCAGGCCGGCUACUGAUCGUCGGUUUGGUGGGCUGUUACCCCGCAACUGCCUAAUCAGACGCGGGCCCAUCCCAUACCGCUAAUGCUUUCCAUCCAGGGGCAUGCACCCCCGCAUGUACAUGCGGUUAUUAGCAGCCGUUUCCGGCUGUUACUCCCCUGUAUGGGGCACGGUUACCACGCGUUACUCACCCGUCCGCCACUCAGUCAAACGGCGCCUUCCUCCCCGAACGGGUAUUCCGCUCCAGUUCGGCUUCGUUCGACUUGCUAGUGUGUUAAGCACGCCCGCCGACGCGUUAC
rnacentral:rRNA from 1 species